rnacentral:lncRNA from 1 species
GCUUACUGGAUUCCAAAAUCUGUGGUGUUUGGACCAUUGCCCAAGACAGCCACUGGGAAGAUACAGAAGCAUCUGCUGAGGGCCAGGGCGAAGGAGAUGGGAACCCUAAAGAAGAGCAAGCUGUAGUAAUCUCUCAGGGUAGUCCAUGAAUGAAUAAAAAGAGGGAUCUUCUUGUUGCCGGUUAGUCUCCCUCGUACUCUGUUAAUUCAUUCAGUUUGGGCUAUAGGAUUUGUGGUUGGGCUACUAAUAUGGUUAUGCAUUUGAAGAAAAAUACUUCUCUCAUAUUCACCUUCCCCAAUUGGGACUAUCAUGUACUGUUACUUAUUUAGGAACUCGUUUGGACGACUGAGCCAAAGACCGGAUCAAAAAGCCCACCAUUAAUGAUCAACAUUUCAAUAUUCUAUUUAUAAAGUCAAUUUCAAAAUACAUAUCGAUGUGAUAUUUACAUGUGAAUAUUCAAUUAACGGAAAAUUCUGAUGAAUGUUAUCCCUAUCACAUACAGAUCAGGUUGGUCUGAAAUCUUGGACCGAUUUGAUGUGUUGAUGGUAUGGGCCAUGUCGUAGCCCAUUGACAUCUCUGUCCAAGCCCAGUAGCCAGGCCUUGAGAUUUCAAAGGUCAGAAUAGAAAUGGGCCUUGUGGUGGACCCAUCUAUGGUAGUUCCUAAUGUUAUGCUAACCAAAAUUUGGUGGAGUGGGAUAAGACUUAAGAGCAAUGGAGCUCCUUCAAUCCAUGUCUUUUAGAUUCUCUAUUUCAUUUGUUCUUCCUUUAAGGCUUGUUUGGUAUACAAGAAAUAAGAAUAAAAGUAGGAUGAAAACAAGGAUGAAUCAUAAUCUAAUGUAUAAUAAAGUAAUCAAAAUCUUAGUAUGAGUGUAUUUGGUUUUCAUGACAAUGAUUUUCUAUUUUCAUUCCAAAAAAAAAGAAAGAAAGAAAAAAGAAUAAAUUAAUGAAUGAGAAAUGAAAUUUAGAGUUUGUUUGAGCUUUGUUUUUAAAAAACAAUUUUUUUAUUUAUUUCUAUAAAUAAAAAAUUGUUUUUCAAAUUCAAAAACACAUUUGGUUUUUUUUUUUUGAUAAAAAAUAGUUUUUUGAAAACAUAUUUUAAUUAUUUUCAUUUGUUUUAUAAAAUAAUUCUAUAAAUAUGGAAAAUAAUUUAAAAUAAAGUAUUACAAGUAAAAACUAUUUUUAAAAAGCAUAAAAUAUAGGUUUAGAAUAUUUCAAGUUUUCAAACAGACUUUUAUACUAAUAAACAUUCAAAAACUGUUUUUUAAAAACUAUUUUUCAGAAACUGUUUUAAAAAUGGAAAAUGUUUCCAACAAGUGAAAGAUUUUCAUUCUCAUUCUUCAUUACAUUACAUGAUUUCAAACAUCAUUUUUAUCAUAGCAAUAGAGGACUUCAUUUGAAGAAGAUUCAAAUGAUGCAAUAGGAUUACAAACCAAAAAAAAAAAAAAAAAUUAGGGACCUGGAAGCCCACCAAGAAUGACACUCGAGCCAAGCGGAUUCCUGGGUUCGGCGCCACAAUGAACGUUCUCUAUGGCGAUUCUGUCUGCGGCCAGGGUGACGUCGAUUCCAUGAACAACAUCGUCUCCCGUUACCAGUACUACCUUGACCUGAUGGGUGUCGGCCGUGAGGAAGCAGGGCCUCAUGAGGUUCUUACCUGCGCCGAGCAGGAGGCUUUCAACCCGUCAUCUUCUUCAUCUUCUUGAGCUGUAAAAAUGCCCGUGUUCUUUGGUAUUCUAUUUUGUUUGUUAUGUACGUGAGAAAGCACAUAUUCGAGUCCAUAUGUAUGUAUAAUCUUCUUCUCUGAUUUCUCUGCAAUGAUCAGGAUUGCUUUUGAGGACUUCACAAUUCUAAUUCGUUAUUUCUUGAUGCCAUUUUCACGACCAGAAAUUUAUAUAAAUGUCUCUUAAUCCAAAAAUUUGCCUUGCACAUUGUUUAAUAUGAAAGCUUAGAUGGGCUUGAGCCCAUUUUGGGAGCCCAAUUAGUUGUCCAAUCUCAAAUCACAUGGGGGAAGCCCGUGAAGACCCCUUCCGCAGCCUCAACUUUCCGUAUGCUUUCUAAAAGUCAACAUUUGAUUCCUCAGCAUUGGGAUUUGGACUAAUCCUCUUGAUCUAACAGAUGAAGCCAAACCGUCCAUCUCUGAUUUACUUAAAAAAUAAAUUAAAAAUGUAACUUCAAUUUUGAUGACCUCCAUUCUUCCAUUUUUAAAUCAACUAGAAUCUUCUUCUCAAAAUGACCAUAACACCCUUUCAAUUUUUUGAUUGAGACUAACCUUAGGCGAAAGUUUUAAGGAAGGGAUUUUGUUUUUUUUCCCUUAGGAAAACUUUAUCAUUAAAUAUAAUACACAAAUAUUUUUUUUUUGUUUCAUUUUUUUAGAAAGGUUAUAUUAAAUUACAUGACAUUUAUUAUUAUAAAGUAAUGUGUAGGUUUGUCCUUUGCUUAAUUAGUUAGGCAUGUCCCGUAGGCAAAAAUUUUAAUUAUUUUUUUUCAUUUAUUUCUUCUAUUUUCCUUUUUUUUUUAAUGUCCCAUUUUCCCCAAAAUUUAAAGGAAUAUACCAUAAAGGAGUGCUAAUUUUUUUUAUAUAAAAAAAUAAAAAAAAUUUAUAUAAUAAAUACAUGGAUAAAUCAUACUCAUCCAAACAUAUAACAUAAAAUAUCAUAUAAAUGUAUAUGUGAUUGUCAUUUCCAAUGUAAAUUAGAGUAAUUUUUUAUAACUUAUUCUUAUUUAAUUAACCUUUUAAAAAAUUAAAUUAGAAAAAUUAUCCAAAACAUAUUUAAAAUUACUUUAGGCUACAUUUGGUCGGUUCUCUUUUUGUCCUAUAUCAUAUUAUAUCGAUCAUUUAAAUGUAAUAAUUUAGGCUAUAUUUGAUUGACAGAAUAAGAUAAAAUAGAAUAAGAUAUAUAUAUAUAUAUAUAUAUAUAUAUUUCAAGAUAUUAUAUUAAAUAUAUAUCUAAUAAUAUGAUUUUCAAUGAGAUAUGAUUUCAUUUGUAUGCAUAUUUUAUGGAUAUGAUAUUUUAAGGUAACAUAUCUAAUAAAAUAUGUUAUGUUAUGUUAUGUUAUGAUAGGUUGCUAACUUAGGAAGAAAUGUCAAUAUUGUUUUAGCAAUCCUAUCCAUAUUGAUGCUAUGUGCUUUAUUGGUUAUAAUUGCAUGCAUCAUGUUUAAUAAUAAUAUCUUGCCAAUUGCUAAAUUUCUCUUUAUGCUAUUUAUGUUUGAUUAUAUCAUUUUGAGCAUCCUUAAUAUACUCCUUGAAGUUUAUAAACUUGAAUAUUUUCUAAAUUUAAAGGAACAUAUAUUGAGAGGGAGCUUGUGAAACCAAAGUUUGGUUAAUCUCAGUUUUGAUGAUAACAAAACAAGGUUUGAAACUAAUAUUAUAUUUCAAGUGUGAUUAAGCAAGAAGAUUUUCAAAGUAGUAAUCACAAAGACAAAAUCAAGUCAAAGAGAAAUCAAUAAGAAAAAGAAGACCUCAAAGAGAACACCUGCAUUUAUUUGUCUACCCACUUGUUCUUGCCUUAAAAGCUUUAAUUCUUUUCUUGGUGCAUUAAAUCUCCAUUUGCAUAUCCUUUAGUGCACCUUUCUGAUUCAUCAUAGCCUUAAGUUGUAUUUGAGCUAUUGUUGAGCUAGGUUGAGAGAUUCAUUCUUGUUAAUCGAGUGUUAAAGCCUUCAAGUGAGUUGAAACUUGAAGAGAUUGUGUAAGAGCCCAUUGGAGCCGGAAUCCAAGUGUAAAGGUGAUUAGAAACUUGGUUGAAGCUUCAAGUUAGUCGAACCCUCACUUGGUUAGGAGCUUGAGGAGAGUGGACGUAGACAAAGAAGUGUCGAACCACUAUAAAAUCUGAGUUUGAUAUCUCUAAUUUUAUCUCUUUAUAUUUGCUUCUUUUGUGCUUAAAUUUGUUGUGUUUAAAAAGAAUUUUUAAAAAACCCAAUUCACCCCCCCUCUUGGGUGUUUUUCUUAUUUAAGAUUAGCCUUUAUUAUCUCAAAACCAUUUCUAAAUUAAAAAAUCUUACCAAUAACUGAGUAGUUGCUGUUGUACUAUGAUACCUCAUCCGAUCUAUAUGGAGAGGGGGUGUGAUUAAACGUCGUGUAAUAUGUCGGUACCACUCCGUAUAUGGAUCAUGAAACUGCAUAGCUCUCGUUAUAGGUGGUGUCAUUGCAAUACGCUCCGCAUGACUAGCCCAUAAGGUAAUAUACUGUGCAUGGAAUGCCCCCCAAUCAUACUUAUGUCGUCCUUGCCUAUCCACAGAAUGAAGGUCUUGCUCUAUGGAACAAGAUGGAGGUAUCCCUUGUUGGAGGCUAAACUAUCACAACACUCGCUCUAGUUGAUGCCACUCGACAAUGUCAAAAUAGAUAAGAGGUGACAUCAUCCCCCAAAUAUCCUGGUCUGUUAGAGAUAUCAUUGGAAGAUGGACAACUAAGUCUUCCAUGUAAGGCUCCCAUAAAACCUGUUAAAAUCAACAUUUGACAUUAAUAAUGUUAAUGUUUAUAUGCUUAACAAUAGCACAUUACAUCUUAUAUGUACUCGGUCAUGGGUUUGUGCAUCUAAUUGGUCUCGAUAAAAUGUCAAUACACGUGAUGGGUUUUGAGCCCAUGAUAAAAGUACUCUCCACCCAUAUCCUAACGGAUCAACUAGUAAACCCUCGUCUAACAAUGCCUCAUCUUGUAAUCCCUGGUCUUCAUCCAAUAAUCCAUGGUGUACUUCAAUAGGACCCUCAACUGGUAAAUCAUCGACUGCAUCAUGAUCUAAAUGUUGAGCUGCUGGAGGGGUUGGUGGUCAACCAAAAUUGGGUCGACCCACUUAGAGUAUCUCCCAAGACCACAACUAGAAAAAAUGUAACAUUAAAAUUUUACUUAAAUUAUAAACUUGAAGCAACUAGAAAUUUUAAUCUAAUGUGAAUAAUUAAUUAUACUUGUAAUAGUGUAACACAUCCAGCAAUAUCGGUGGCACCAUCCAAACUCAUUCGACACAACUCCGUAUAUAGGUGUGCUAAUACUACACUGCCCCAACUAUACAUAGAUGUUUGAGUCAAGUCUCUAAGUAGUGGGAGAUAACACAUAUGGAUGUGGGUACCCUUCUUAUUUGUAAAUAGAGCUGAACUUAUGAGUGCUAAUAUGAAAGCUCGUGCAUACUGCUCUAAUAUGGCCUCAUCUGAAUCAAUUGGUGGACGAGAGAACUAGUGACAUAGCCAUCGUGUCGAUAUCAUUGAUCCUUUAAUCUCAAAUGUAGGGGGAGUCAUACCUAAAAGUUCAUAACAUAGCAGUGACCAAUCUAUGUCACAUGUGCCAGUGAUGAGAAGCCCAUGAAUACGAAGUCCUAAUAUGAUAGCAACAUCCUAUAAAGUAACGGUCAUCUUCCCAACAGGAAGGUGAAAUGUAUGUGUCUUAGGAUGCCAUAUCUCAACUAGACUAUUGAUCAAUCCCCAAUCUAGUGUAAUGUGUCCAAUACGGUAUACACCAUAAAAUCCAGAUCGAAUAAUAUAAGAUCGAAGAUGAGGAUCCAUCUCCUAUUCCCAUAUAAACCUAGAUAUAUGUUGUCGACAAGUCAAGACCGAAGCAAACUGUAAAGAUACAAAUAAAUCAUUUAGAUAAUAAACUCCAUUUCUUUUCAUUCUUUAAAGAGAUAUUAUGUGCUUUCAUAUACAUACCUGACCAUAAUCAACUAAAUGAGACUUGUGCCUAUCCUGUAGAACCAAAACAGACUUAUCUAAUGGAUCUGAAUCAAAACUAUGUUUUUUAUACUCUAUAUCUGAAACAAAAUUGUAAAGAUAAAUAAACAAUACUUAUUGUUUUUAAAUAAAAAAUAUUUAUAAUGGAAAAAUUUUAAAAUUUUAUGGAGUUUUCCCUAUAUUAAGUAUAUAUCAAUUUGAUAAAUUUAAAUAGAUCAAUUCAUUUAUUACCAAUAAACAAGUCAUAUUAGUUUAAAUUAAAAUUAGAGAUGCAAAUACAAUGGAACAUUUUGUUAACAUCUUUAAUAGAAAAUUUCAAAAUUUUGACAGAGUUUCCCCUAUAGUAUGGACAUUAUUCCAAAUAUAAAUAACCUGAUUAUGAAAAUAACAUCAAUAUUUAUAAUCAAACCAAAGCCAAUAAUUGCAUAAAUGUAGUAUCAUAGUAGCUUACAUCACAAUAUCCAAGAAAAUUACAUGCAUACAUCACAUGGUCUAAUAAACUAUAUUACUAUUUUGACAAGAAUGACGAUUGUGGCCACUUUGUUUGCAUAACCCACAUGUAAUAGAAGUCUUGCCCUCUCUAACAUCCAUUUCAUUACGUAAAUGACUUGAUUUAGGUCGUCCACUUGAUGCACGUUUCAUCGACUCAGAAGGCACGAUAAUCAGACCAUCAUAAGGAGACCACUCAUACAUUGAAAAUGGGAUGGAACAAGGGUACCCAAGUAUUAUAGUAUGAUUGUGUACUGUAGUAGUAUUGAACAAGUGGUCUAAAAUCAACUGAACGAAAAUGACAUGCUGUUAGAAUAUGGCUACAUGGGAAUCCAUAUAUGAGUGUUUUAUCACACGUACAUGCAUGCUCAUGUAAGUUGACGCGAUAUGUUCGACCACCAGUUGAGCUACUCUUCGUAUCCCUACUAGUCUUCACGUGGAAUCAUCCUUGGAUGUGAUCAUAUAAAACAAUCUCAUGAGAUCCUGUCUUAACUACAUUUGCCUUAAUCUUAGCAUCGACAUAUGAAGUGUAUUUUUCAUUUGAAUCAAGUCGAUUAACACCUUGUUCCCUUCUCACAACAAAGUAACUAUUUAGCCAAAAAAAUGUCAAUUGAACCAAAGCAGUUACUGGUAAGCUACAAGCCCUUUUAAGCACACUAUUGAACACCUUCAACAUGUUUAUAGCCAUGAUGCCAUACUUUCGACCUUCGUCAUGAGAGAGCGCCCAUUUCUAAAAAGGGAUUGCUUCCAACCAUUAUUGUGCAGCUGCAUUAAUCCUCCCAAUUAUGUUCAUAUGUUUAUUGAAAUUUUCAAUCUUGGUUGCUAAGGCUGCUCUGCACAUUAGAUUUUUCAACAUUUUAUCCUUGAGUCGAGUCAUAAAAUUGCUGUCAAGAUGAUGUAUACAAACCCUAUGAUAUGCGUAUGGCUCAGACCAACCAAGAUGAACAUCACUCAUUGUAGUUAUAAUGCCUGGAUGUCGAUUUGAAAUAACACAAAGUCCCCUCCUAUGAGUUACUCUAGUUCUAAUACAUGCCAAAAACCAUCCCCAACUAUCAAUAUUCUCAUCCCCUAUUAGGGCAAAAGCUAAUGGGAAUAACUGAUUAUUUCCAUCAUAAUCCCGAGCAAUCAUUAAAGUGUCUUUAUACUUCCCAUACAAAUGUGUACCAUCAAUAUUGAGUACGAGCCAACAAUGCUUGAAUCCUUCAAUAGAUGGAUGAAAUGUCCAAAAAACUUGUUGAAAUAUCUUUGUAUUCUCCAUAAUACCGUGAAAUGUUUUUGAAAUUACAACACAUCCUGGAUUUGCCUACUCUAAGGCAAUGAAAAAAUGUGGUAGCUUUGCAUAUGACUUAUAAAAAUCACUAAAUAAGUUUGUAAGUGUUUUAAGCUUUUCUUUAGAUGUCUUCUUGUAUGAUAUUUGGUAUCCAAAUUUCUCCACAAUACUUGCUUAAAUAGUAGCUACUAACAAUGUGAAUUGUGCCUUAAUCAUUCAUUGGAUAUGAACAACAAUCAAGUUGGAAUCUAAUUGUUGAUGGUCCCGAUUCAAACAAGGAUUUACACAUUUGUGUGGACCAUUGUAUUUAUUGAUUGCAAAUAAAGUUGUACCUUGUACAACCAUAGCACAGAGUUUCCAUGGACAUUGAGAUUGCUCAACCUUCUUGCAUCUUAAGACUAACAACUUUUUAGUUGACAAAACAACAACAUACUCUUGUUGUGCACUAAUAGAGUACAACUUCACAGCAUGUUGUAAAUAUGCUUUUGAAUUAAAAAAUUGGCCAACCAUGAACUCUCCACCUGAGUUUCCAAUAUUAGUGUUCCCUCAUGGGGUCUAGUCACUUGAAACGACAUUACCAAUGUUUUCUACAUUUUCAAAAUGUAAUAAUGGUGCUGAGUGAUAUUGAACAGAGGAAAAAUCCAUUAAGUCCUUAAGAUCUAGGUUAUUUGACAUAUCACAACCUUCCCCAUCCACGGAGAUAUAUCUCCCUUGUUCACUUUCCAUUGCUUCGUGAAGAGUUAAGAAAAAUGAAACAACAUUAACACUAUUGUUUUCCUCAUUAAUAAAUUCGAAUACCCCAUGACCAUCAUGUUGAACAUCUUCUGCUUUCUCACUUUGAUCAUCACUUUCUUAGGAUUCAUAUUUUUCUUCAUCUUCAUCUGCUCUACACUCAUAAGUCAUUGCAAUUGGGGCACUACUAGGUCCACAACCAUACUCAAAUUCCUCAACAUUAUCAUUUUCUCAGAGUAAUAAAUGUGUAAAGUUACCUAAUAAUUGCCCUCUGACUUGUGGUUGUAUUGACACUUAUUCAAUAUACAAUUCAAUUUCGUUCAUUCCAAAUGAGUUAACCAAUUUUAGCAUUUGGGAUAAACUAUUAUCAUCCCAUAUUGGACAAAGUUGAAACCUGUUUUCCAUUUAAAGGAUACCUACAGUUGAAGACUAAUUGAAAUUGUUUUUUGUCAAUGCCAGUUCUCGAGUAUAUUAUAGAUAACAAGUGUUCAUAGGUUGAACUAACAGACACAUCCAAAGGCAUAAUUACAACUUGAUCCCCAAUAUACUUUACAUUUGUUUUUGUCAUCAACAUUUUUCCUUUACAAAAGCAAAUCACAGGAAUAAUAGAUUCAGACAUGAUUUACCUACAAAAAAUACAAUAUCAAAUGGUUUAAUAAUCAAUGAAAAUAAUAAGUCUUUGUGUUUUGAACUUAACAUACUUUUUAUUAAAAUAAUUACAAAAACACACAUACAAGAAUGUUCUAGAGAAAUUGCAUAUAAUUUUUUAACAUGUGAAUACACAAUUAUAUAAUGAAACAUCUUCUUACACAUUAGGGGGAAAAAUAUAAAUCACUUCAUAAUAAUAAUAUUUUUUAUUUAAAUAGUUAUCAAUGAUACAAAUAUAUUCAUAAAUAAAUGUUUGAUAAAAUUUUAAUUUAAAACUUAGAUAGUGGGUUUUAAAUCAAUAAAUGUUUAGUUAAAUCUAAAAGGCUAAACAAUUGCAAGAAUCUCAAAAUUAAAUAAAAAAUAAUCCACCAAUAAAUUUUUUUGAUAAAAUAUCAUAUAUUAAAAUAAAAUUAAAUGUUAUCAACCAUUAAAUAAUAUAUACUUUAAAUAAUUAUGUUGUUAUUCAUAAAUCAAUUGAUAUUUGAUUAAACCUAAAAGUCCAAAAAAAAUUUAAAUCUCAAAAUCAAAUAAAAGAUAACUCACCACAGAAAAAUAUAUUAAUAAAAUAUCAAAUACACAAUUAUAGAAAAAAAUUAUUUAUAUAUAUAAACAUUAUUUGAAUAUUAAAAGUGAAAACAUAUAAACAUUUUAUAAACCUAUUUAAUAUUAAUUUUAAUUAUAGAAAAAAAAUCAUUUAUAAAUUAAUUUUAAUUUAUAAAUCAAUUGAAUAUUAAUUUUAAUUUUAAUAAAAUUGAUGUCAAUAGGAUGACCCUUCUCAAAUAAUCCACCAAUAAUUUUUUUUUGGAUAAAAUAUCAUACAUUAAAAUAAAAUUAAAUAUUAUUAACCAUUAAAUAAUAUAUAAUUUAAAUAAUUAUGUUGUUAUUCAUAAAUCACUUGAUAUUUGAUUAUACCUAAAAGUCCAAAAAAAUUUUAAAUCUUGAAAUAAAAUAAAAGAUAACUCACCGUAGAAAAAUAUAUUAAUAAAAUAUCAAAUACGCAAUUAUAGAAAAAAAAUCAUUUAUAUAUAAAUAAACAUUAUUUGAAUAUUAAAAAUGAAAGCAAAUAAACAUUUUAUAAAUCUAUUUAAUAUUGGUUUUAAUUAUAGAAAAAAAAUCAUUUAUAAAUUAAUUUUAAUUUUAAUUUAUAAAUCUAUUGAAUUUUAAUUUUAGUCUUCAAUCUUCUCUUCUUGUUUAAUUUUGCUUUCUUGCAGGGAGCCAUUGUUGAUAGAAAGGUAUAGAAAGAGUGAUUGUUGUUAUGUAGAGAAGUAUGAGGAUAAUGGUGGGCUAAUUUGAGUAUUAUCUAGUUUUUAUUUUUAUUUUUAUUUUUGUGAUUUUUCCAGCAUUACAUUGUUUAUAUGGGAGAUCACUCGUACUAGGAUUCAGAAUAUAUGGUUGCAGCUAACCAUGAGAUGCUAGCUUCAGUUACUGGAAGGUAAGAGACUAUGGUCCCUAAAAAGAAUAGGCUACUAGUUUUCAGUGUCCUGACCUAAUUUUGACUGUGUGGAUUGUAACAGUUGAUUUGUUUUUCUAUGAUUCUAAAUGUUGUGGUGGAUUGUUUUCAGUGUUGAUAAGGCACAGACAGUAACACUUCACCAUUACAGUAAAAGCUUUAGAGGGUUUUCAACCAUGCUUACACCCGAGCACACUUAAAAACUUGCAGGUGUGCCUUUUUUCAUAUUAUAAAACAUUGUACAUCAUUCAAAACAUUCUGGCUUACUAAAUUCCUUUUGAUUUUCUUGUGUUGCAGAGAGCGAUUAAGUUAUUUUAGUGUUCAGGAGCAGGAUGAACUGAGUCCAUAUAACUCAUUCUUGGGAUUUUUUGGGAAUAGACUCUAUUGUCCAGUAUAACCAACUGCCAAUGACCUUGUCUUCUCAUAGUUUUGCUCAAUAUUUUAUUUUAACUUCAAUUUUUUUGUUUAUUUGUCCAUGCAUCCGUGAUUUUUUUUUUUUUGUGGAAUUUAUAGGACAUCAAAGGCGAAGUUAACUUGGGUGCUACUAAAAAAUCUUUGCCUAUGGAUCCAUCAAUUUAUGGGCUAACAAUUUUGGAAUCAAAAUUAGGACUAGGUGGUGCAGGUAACAUUGCCUCACCCUGCAUAAAAACUAGGAGAUAUUUUUAUAUGGACAUAUUUUUUGUGGUACUAUGAGAAAAAUAAUGUUUGAUGUUAUUUCCUCUUUUGUAAAGACCAUAUUGGUCAACAGUGGUGUUAGUGGAAUAACAUAGAAUAAAUUGGGCACCUUCUAUUUUUGGUUGAGACAAAUGGCAACAACUAAAAGUUAAUAUAAGAGACGAGCUAAUGGCCUUGAUCUAAGGCUUGAAAAUCUCGUAUGACAGUUUCAAGAUUGUUUAUGGCUUUUUAUUAGGAAGUUUUCUAGUCACUUAGAUGUGUUUAAUGGCCUUAAUACAGUCUCAUAGUUGCUUUUAUCUUCUAAAUCUUGUCAGUACUAGGUUUUAUGUAUUUAAUACAAUAUCAUAGUUGCUUUUAUCUUCUAAAUCUUGCCAAUUUUCAUAUGUUCCACUCAUGAACAUCGCUAGCUUAUUAUGAGCCUAACAAAGAAUUAAAGAUAAAGUCUCCAACUUAUGGUUACAGCAAAUCAAAUCCCAAGAAUAGCCAAGCAGAGUCUAAAUCAAGUAGAGUUGAAGUAUUGAAAAUUUUAAAACUAUUUAGUUUGAGAUUCCUUAAAGGAUGCAAAUAAUGUCUUAAAUCUUUGGACCAGAACUAGCCCAUGAUGACUCUGUUUUAACCAUAUCUCCUACCACUGGAUCAUAUUCCUGAAUUUUAAGGUCAACCAAACAACAAGGAAUUUGAAACCCACCAAGUAAGAAAAAGAUCAGAAUACUCAGGACCACUAAUGAAACCCACCAGCUUUAUUUUAUUACAGAGGAAUGGGUCCAUGGAGUGACUCACAUUGUAGAGGAAAUUCUGAUAUCAUUUUCUAGAGUUCUACCCCACCCAAAUGAUAGGUCAAACAUGCACAUUUUAGCAUUACUUUCCUCUAUUUUCUGGGCAACCAAACAUUCCUAGAAUUUGGAGAAUAAUGUAGAAACUGAAAACAACCCCACACCUCAAUCUCCUAACUUAAGAUAAAACCUUAUUCAUUGGCCCUUGAAAAGUGGAGUACUCCGAUUUUUUCUGUUCCUAUAACAAAAAUCAAAGCUCAUCCCCUUCAUUUUUGGGGUUUUUAACAGUGGUCCCCUCCAUUUUUGGAGUUCUUAACAAUGGUCCCCUCCAUUUUUGGUAUCUUUAACAAAAAAAAUUCACGGUGGCUCUCCAUUCCAUAUUCGUUUUCUUCACUAAAACAAAACCUUUUUCUUUUUGUCAAGCUAGCUCACAAUGAAAAUAAAAUUAAAAAAAACCGAACACAUCUUUACCAAGCACAAGAUGAAAAUAAAAUCAGAAACCAAACACAUCUACAACAAUAAACUAAAAUACGUGAAAACUAAACAGAUUUACAAAAAAAUAUUUAAAUUUACGUAAACUGAAAAACUCAUAAAUCUUACCUGAUCAAUGAUGGAACAAGAUGAAAAUUUGGAAAAUAUUGAAUUUGAGCCAAGGAUGAACCAAAGACAACCAGAUGCAACGGGAGACAACGGAAAUGACGAAUAAAAAGACAAAACCCUAAAGGUAAGAAACCUAACCGAAAAGUGAAAGGAACUCAAAACUGUAAUUGGUGACUACGGUUUCUUGACCUGGACUCCUACGUGAUAAAGAUGCACUAAAUUGGGCAUUAUUUUGGAAAUCAGUUUACUUUUUGGUUUUUUUUCUAAAUAUCUUUUUUUGGGUCAAAACUCAAUAAUCCAAGCGUCCAAAUAGUUGAAAUGCACCGUAAAAGCUAUAACUAGAGCUCGUGUGGUUACAGUUAAUCCCCACCGUCGAUUCUCACGGCGGUGGGUCCCAUGUGAUGUAAAAAUUAAUCGUGGUUUGUCUUUUGGACCUAGUUGGGCCCAAAAAUUAAGUUUUGGUCCAUGUAAGUUGCAUAAUUGAUGAUGAGGAUAUUAAAUAUGAAAAUACCAAUAUACCCUUUAAAACUAUUUUCUACCAUAAUGUUUGACAAACUUUUUUUUUAUCUUAAAUUUUUUUUAAUCAUUAUUCUGAAAAUUUAUUAUUUUUAGAAAAAUAUUUUUUUUAAAAAAAUAUAUCAUUUUUAAAAAUAAAUUUGACAUAUUUUUAGUUAUUUUUAUAUACACAAUUUUAAAAAUAUAUAUUUUUCAAGAUUUUUUAUUUUUAAAUAAUAAUAAUAAUAAUAAUUUUAUUUUAUUUUUUUUAGAAAGGGUGUAUUUUUUUUCCAAAUCACUAAAUUAUAUUAAAUUUUAUUGAGGUUUAAAAAAGGAAUAAAAUUUAAAUUAAUAUUUUUCUACCUUUUUUUUUUUUUCAUAAUGAGCAAAAGUCAUUUUUGGAAUGAUAAAAAAAUUCAUAUCUUUCUUCUCAAUUUUCACAUUUUCUCUGGGUUUUAAGCUUAAAUAAUGAAUUUAUAUGGACAAAAACUUAAUUUUUGGACCCAACUGGUCCAAAACACUAUUGUCCCUUUAUUUUAUCACAAAUGGAGGACAAUUUGGUCAUUUCCAUAUUCAACAUGCUCAACAUAUAUAUAAAACUAUGGCAACUCUCUCCACGUUGAUUAUACACUACUCGCAUCGUCACGAGAGUUGCCAUAAUCACAACUGAGGAGGUAGAUAGUGAGGGUACAGAGGAGAUGGUGGUGGAGCGCGACAUAGAUGAUCUACCGAAGAACGCAGCGAACUACACGGCCUUGACUCCGCUGUGGUUGCUGGAGAGAGCGGCUGUGGUACAUCCCAACAGGAAAUCAGUGAUCCAUGGAUCUUUGCAGUACACGUGGCUCCAGACUUAUCAGCGGUGCCGCCGAUUGGCUUCCGCUCUUUCUAAGUAUUCCAUCGGCGCCGGCAGUACGGUACUUCGGUUUCUCACAUCUUUAACAUUUUCAUUCUUCUGCUUGGUAGAUGAGAAAAUGAAAGAAAAGAUAAGAAAAUUUGAAAAUCUUUUGUUGGUUGCAGUCUUGAAAGCGGCGUGUUUUUGUCCCUUUCUUAAGUGAAUCUAACCCUUCCUUUUUUUCUUUCCCUCUGAAAAUAGGCGGUGAGUUUAAUUUGAUUCGUUUAUUUAAUUACCACGUUAAUUAAAUCUUGUGCUGAUUGAAUAUAAAUCAAGUUCGUUGGCAUGAAUUUAGUCUUUUUUUUAUUUUUUAUUUUUGGUUGUAGAUCUGAUUUUUUAUUCUGUUUUUUGAAAUAUAGAAGUAAAAGUAAUUUUUAAUCACUUGUGUAGUAUUCGUCGAAAAUCAACAUGAUUGUUGUGGUUUUGAAUCAUUUAGUCUCAGGUGUUAUUUAUUCAAAAGUUGUGGAAAGUCUUAAAAAAGUUUAUUGAUAUUUUGGUUUUGAAUUUUCAUUAUUACUUUUUCCUUUUAAGAGUUGUUUAUUCUAGUUUCAGACAAGAGGUUAUGUUAUCAUGCUCAAUAUCAUUAUUCCUACUAUUGUGGCUCUAUUUUGGGUUAGUUGAUUAAAAAAUUCGAAAUUUGACCUGGGUUAGUUGAUGUUGUCUGCUAGGUUUUCCUUUUAGAUUGAAAAACCAUAAAUUGAGUAUGUUGGAGUAUAAAAAAGAUUACCGAAUCUCGUCCAAAUAUUGGGGUUGAGUUGUUCACACUAACCUACCUAAGUUGUAAGGUUAGGUGUUGUUGUUGUUGCUUUUUUUUUUAUAAUUUUUUAUUAAAAGUAAUUUGGUUUUAUUGAACUACUAAUUUUCCUAAAAAGCUGAAGGACUUAGAUCUAAUAUGCAUAUUAUACUCGUUAACACCUUUUCUCGUGUGUGCAGCCCAUACCCACAUGUGGAGAGGCAUAGACAGAAAAAGGGAGAGAGACCAACAAUUGCAAAUAACCCUUUUUGGGUUUUCGAACAUGUAAAUGGGGAAACAAACAUACAAAUUGUAAAGAGACAACUUGAAUGCAUGACUUCUGGCAAAAUAUCAUGUUGAACAAUUAAUUUUUCUAAAAGGCUAAAAUACUUUGUUUUUUUUACUUAUUUCUUAAAUUUUAGAUCGAAUAGAAAAAACCAAAAUAUUUAAUUUUCUUUUUAAUGCAAAAACUAACCUAUUAGUUUUUCUCUACUUGUUAAUACUUAAUAGAAAUUAAAUAUCGAAAAAACUAAUAACUUAAUAUUUAAUACUAUUAAACACUAUUUUAUCUUAAGUUCGAUUUAGAAUUAAAUAAGAAAACAAGUACCACCUUAAUUUAAUCCACUUAUCAUACAGUUAUUCUGAAAUAUUUAAUACUUUAUCUACUUAUUUUUAUUUUUUCAAUGGAAAAACCAAUAAAAAUAUUAAUUAUAAAUACACAAAAUAAAUAAUACAUAUGUUUAUUUUUUUUAAUGAAAGGGAAAACUAAUAAAUUAGUAAAUCCAAAAGACGGUGAUGGAGAUAAUAUUUAUAUAUGAAUAAUAACUGUUUUAUACAAAUAAUAGUUAUUAAUAAGCUUUGUGUUAUGGUUAUAAUAAUUUUGUUAUUCUUGACAAAUUAUAUUACAAAAAAAUAGUUAUAAUCGUAGUAUAAUAUAUUAUUUUGUUAUUCCCAUUAUAAGAAGUUGGAUUAUUCUUUAAUAAGUUUUUCCUCAACUAUGAAAAGAUUAUAAUCAUUUUUGCUCUCUGCCUGAAAUUUUUUUAGUACUUUUACUAUUUGCUUAUUAAAAUAGCUAAAGGGCAAUAAGUUGUCUUCAUCUCCCUCUAUGUCCAAAUUCACUGGCAAUAUUAUUACAAGUAUAAGAGCAGGAGUAAUAUGGCUGCAUUUUAGAAAAAAACUGCUGAAGAUUUUUACCUGGCUUGUUUGGAUAAUUUAGCGGACAGGUGGUUCUGCUUGUUUCCCUCCCAAAUACCAUAUUCUUUUCGGAUUUGGCAUCAUUUAGGGCUUAUAAUCCAGUUCAGUUUCUUGAGUUACUUCCUGAAUUAGUUUCCUUUUGGGAAAUUAUUCUCAUUGCUUGGUUGUCUGGACUGCUUGAAACUUCUUGUUCACCUGACUCGUGAAAUCAAAGAGUAAUGCAAUUGCCUUUGUCAUUGUGUGUGUACUUUGAUUUUGGGAUUCUCAUCCCUGCUCCUUUCAUCGUAUUCAUCAUUGUAAAAAGCAUGGAAUUUUCUAACAGUGUUCCACUGGACCUCAUGAGGUUUUAUAAUGAUGGCCAGAAUUAUGAAUCGUUGAUCAUUCUGGUUUCCUUCCAUCCUAACUUUGUAUCUGAUAAAUUGCCUCUAUGUUGGAUUGGAGCUAGUUGGUGGCUGAAUCUUAGUGUUCUGAUUAUACUGCCAGGUAGCAAUAAUUGCACCAAACAUCCCUGCCAAGUAUGAAGCUCAUUUCGGGGUUCCCAUGUCUGGAGCGGUGGUGAACUGUGUUAACAUUCGUCUAAAUGCACCGACAAUUGCUUUCCUUCUUGAGCAUUCAUCGGCAGCAGUUGUAAUGGUGGAUCAAGAGUUUUUCCCAUUGGCAGAGGAAGCUUUGAAAAUCUGGUCAGACAAAAGCAAAAAUGAUUUUAAGCCUCCACUUCUAAUCGUCAUAGCUGAUGAAAGCUGCGAUCCUAAAGCACUAGAAUAUGCUUUGAGGAAAGGGGUCAUUGAAUAUGAGCAGUUCCUGGAAACAGGAGACCCUGAAUUUGCAUGGAAACCACCACAGGAUGAGUGGCAGAGUAUUGCUUUGGGGUAUACUUCUGGAACAACAGCCAGCCCUAAGGGGGUAGUGUUGCACCAUAGGGGAGCAUAUAUCAUGGCCCUCACUGGUGCUCUUGUAUGGGGGAUGAAUGAAGGAGCUGUGUACCUAUGGACACUUCCAAUGUUUCAUUGUAAUGGCUGGUGUUUCACUUGGACACUUGCUGCUCUUUGUGGGACCAACAUAUGCCUUCGGCAGGUACUUCUGAGUCAUUUGUUUUUACCUCAAUAUGUUGGAGAAUUCAUGCUUAUCUUAAAAAUGUCUUCAAUAUGUUGAAAUGCUUUGCCAAACACUACAAGGCAGUUUGAAAACAGUUGCAGGCCGCCAAAAGGAGUUUGCUAAUGUGUUCAUGCUCCUCUGCUUUGUACAUUUUUGUAGGUUGAAACCAAGGCAAUUUAUCAAGCCAUAGCCAACGAUGGUGUAACCCACCUCUGUGCUGCACCAGUGGUCCUCAACAGCAUAGUCAAUGCCCCCAAAAGUGAAACCAUCCUUCCCCUUCCACGCGUGGUCCAUGUAAUGACAGCUGGGGCUGCUCCGCCCCCUUCUGUUCUCUUUGCCAUGUCCCAACAAGGCUUUCGAGUCACCCAUACCUACGGACUCUCAGAAACCUACGGCCCCUCCACAGUAUGUGCAUGGAAACCUGAAUGGGAUGAACUACCACCUGAAACUCAAGCCCGUCUCAAUGCACGCCAAGGCGUCCAAUACAUCGGCUUGGAGGGCCUAGAUGUGGUCAGCACCACAGACAUGAAGCCUGUCCCUGCCGAUGGAACCACCAUUGGUGAGAUUGUGAUGCGGGGUAAUACUGUGAUGAAGGGCUACUUAAAGAACCCGAAAGCCAACGAGGAAACUUUUGCAAAUGGAUGGUUUCAUUCAGGUGAUCUUGGGGUGAAGCAUCCAGAUGGGUACAUACAACUUAAGGACCGAUCAAAAGACAUCAUCAUCUCUGGAGGCGAAAACAUAAGCAGUGUGGAGGUUGAAAAUGCUGUAUACUUGCACCCUGCAGUGCUAGAGGCAUCAGUGGUGGCAAGGCCAGAUGACCGCUGGGGGGAAUCACCUUGUGCUUUCGUGACGUUGAAGCCAGGGGUUGAUAGAUCCGAUGAAAGACGCCUGGCAGAAGAUAUUAUGAAGUUCUGCCGAUCCAAGUUGCCGGCUUACUGGAUUCCAAAAUCUGUGGUGUUUGGACCAUUGCCCAAGACGGCCACUGGGAAGAUACAGAAGCAUCUGCUGAGGGCCAGGACGAAGGAGAUGGGACCUCUUAAGAAGAGCAAGCUGUAGUAAUCUCUCAGGGUAGUCCAUGAAUGAAAAAAAAGAGGGAUCUUCUUGUUGCCGGUUAGUCACCCUCGCACUCUGUUAAUUCAUUCAGUUCGGGCUAUAGGAUUUGUGGUUGGGCUACUAAUACGGUUAAACAUUUGAAGAAAAAUGCUUCUCUCAUAUUCACCUUCCCCAAUUGGGACUAUCAUGUACUGUUACUUAUUUAGGAACUCGUUGGACGACUGAGUCAAAGACCGGGUCAAAAAGCCCACCAUAAAUGAUC